rnacentral:rRNA from 1 species
AGAGUUUGAUCAUGGCUCAGAUUGAACGCUGGCGGCAUGCCUUACACAUGCAAGUCGAACGGCAGCACGGGUACUUGUACCUGGUGGCGAGUGGCGAACGGGUGAGUAAUACAUCGGAACGUACCUUAUCGUGGGGGAUAACGCAGCGAAAGCUGUGCUAAUACCGCAUACGAUCUCAGGAUGAAAGCAGGGGACCGCAAGGCCUUGUGCUCCUGGAGCGGCCGAUAUCUGAUUAGCUAGUUGGUGGGGUAAAGGCCCACCAAGGCAACGAUCAGUAGCUGGUCUGAGAGGACGACCAGCCACACUGGAACUGAGACACGGUCCAGACUCCUACGGGAGGCAGCAGUGGGGAAUUUUGGACAAUGGGGGCAACCCUGAUCCAGCAAUGCCGCGUGAGUGAAGAAGGCCUUCGGGUUGUAAAGCUCUUUUGUCAGGGAAGAAACACCGGCUCUAACACAGUCCGGGAAUGACGGUACCUGAAGAAUAAGCACCGGCUAACUACGUGCCAGCAGCCGCGGUAAUACGUAGGGUGCAAGCGUUAAUCGGAAUUACUGGGCGUAAAGCGUGCGCAGGCGGUUAUACAAGACAGGCGUGAAAUCCCCGGGCUUAACCUGGGAAUGGCGCCUGUGACUGUAUAGCUAGAGUGUGUCAGAGGGGGGUAGAAUUCCACGUGUAGCAGUGAAAUGCGUAGAUAUGUGGAGGAAUACCAAUGGCGAAAGCAGCCCCCUGGGAUAACACUGACGCUCAUGCACGAAAGCGUGGGGAGCAAACAGGAUUAGAUACCCUGGUAGUCCACGCCCUAAACGAUGCUGACUAGUUGUUCGGGAUUUUCAUCCUGAGUAACGUAGCUAACGCGUGAAGUCAGCCGCCUGGGGAGUACGGUCGCAAGAUUAAAACUCAAAGGAAUGACGGGGACCCGCACA